CGUACCACCUGUUUUACCCUGCAGGAAGCUGGAGGGGCCCAGCCAUCAGUUUCCCACUUUCCUGCCUCCACACCUCCACAGGGCCCUUCCAGGAUCUCCCUGAGAGCUCAACCCAAAUCCCUUACAUGUGCCCGUAGAUGUCACCACUCCUUCCUGCACCUCCCGCUCAGCCUCAACACAGACUCAUAACUGAUGCUGCCAGGUGUACGAGGAAAGCCUGUCAUUUCUUCUGCCCUUUGUGCUCCCCCUCACACCUCCUGGAAGGAAACUCUUCCAUUUUCCCAUUGAGCACGGAACAGGUCACGCGAGGCUGGCCUUCUGACCACAGCUGCCAGGACCAGGGUGGAUGCCUCACAAAAAUACUGGCAUACAUCAUGACCAGCGCAGUUGGCCCUGAGUAAACUCCUCCCUGGAAGGCAUUUGCAGUUAGGUUGCUCCGGCUGAAAGUCACAUGAGCUGAGCUCAAACAUUUAAAAAAAUUUUUCUUAGUAACAUUAUUUGAACAAAAUAAAAACCUGUCCCAGCAGUUCUCUCUACCAGGCACUUUGCAGAGGUCCCACAAGGUUCUCAGAAACUUGGGCCGGGCCCCAGCUCAUCCCAAGGAAUCUUUGGGCUCAGCUGCCUAUCUUAGAGAAUGCUUGCCUUGCCAUCAUGUGAAUUCAGGACAAAAACCAUUGGGAUUUAGAACAGCCUGGGUUCCAAUCUGCUGGGCUUAUGAAAAAGAAAAAGCUGGGGAGAAGACAGAGGAAUGCUUUGGCUCAUGCAACAGAAAAGUCCGGAGGCAACCGCUUCAGGAUUUGUUGUCUUGCCGCUUUGAAGAAUGAAGAGGUGGAUACAAAAUGAGCAGCAGGCAAAAUUUAUUAGAGUAUAAGAUCAGAAAGGAAGAAGAGUAGGAAAGGUCCCUUUACAGAGAAUAUUGGAAAGUGAACGCCAGAGGACUACAGGAGCCUGAGCUUCUUGGAACCAUCCUUGAGCUUCUCAGGAACCUGUGCCUGGGAAAAGGAUCAUAUGAUACUGUACUCUGGGGACCACUUCGCAGGAUGGGGGCAGAUAAGAGACUGGUAGAUGAGAAACUGAAACUGGGUUGGGUACUGCAACAGUCCUAGCCCAUAUUCUUUCCCAUUCAUCUGUGAAGUAUGUUUGGCCAAGAGAAAUUAGCACCUAGAAGAUGAAGCAACAUCAUGCCAGGGUACCUUACAGUAUACUCUUCAAGAAGGCGUCUCAAUUUAGAGGCUUUGUGCCAGCUGUAAAUCCUAUAGAGAAUACCCAAGCACGACUUUUCCAUUGAGAGGUGAGAAUGGCCACGCCACCUCUCACUGGGAAUGUGUCUGGUUCAGCUUCCUAGUACCUCAAGAUCCAUUCCCCGGAUGCUAAGGACUGUGGGAAUGGAGAGGAUUUCAUAAAAAAGAAACUCCAAAGGAAAAGUUACAUUGAAAUGCUGUGUGUCCGACACAGAGCUAGGCACAUAGUGAGCCCUUGACUAAUAUGUAUUUAAUCAACUGAAAAUACCCCCUGGGGGAGAAAGAAAUAGGAAGAGAGAGAGAGAGAGAGAGAGAGAGAGAGAGAGAGAGAGAGA